GUGCCAGCAGCCGCGGUAACACGUAGGGUGCGAGCGUUGUCCGGAAUUAUUGGGCGUAAAGGGCUCGUAGGCGGUUUGUCGCGUCGGGAGUGAAAACUCAGGGCUCAACCCUGUUCGUGCUUCCGAUACGGGCAAACUAGAGGUAGGCAGGGGAGAACGGAAUUCCUGGUGUAGCGGUGGAAUGCGCAGAUAUCAGGAGGAACACCGGUGGCGAAGGCGGUUCUCUGGGCCUAUUCUGACGCUGAGGAGCGAAAGCAUGGGGAGCGAACAGGAUUAGAUACCCUGGUAGUCC
rnacentral:rRNA from 1 species